AGACAGGAAGGAAAAUCGUAAGAGCAGUAUGACACAGCUAUUGGUCACGUCUACAAGAUGCCCGACAGGCACCGUUACCGCCGGCUGGGGCUCCCAGGGUGUGUGCCCAGAACUCUGAGAAGGUCAGGAGAUGAGGGUGAUGCUGGGAGCUUUUCCUAGGACCCAGAUGACAGGUGCCAGCCCCUGGUCUCACCCUUGGCCCAGCUCCGGAUACUGGGGCCCCCGCACCCUUGUUCUCUUCCUUCUAGGGCGGUGGUUCUCCCUGCAGUGAAGCUGGCCUGGAUCUGCUCCCCCAGGGUGUCAGCAGAUGAGGCUGGGGAAGGGCUGCUCAAAGCUCCGGCUGGGCGAGACAGCAGCACCCCUCCCGUCAGUAAAGGCCGACAAGGACAACGCAGGACACCUUUGGCAAGUGAGCACAGGAAAUCGGAAGCUCGGAAGAGGAGGGUCCAGGUGUGCUCAAGUGACCACAGGGACGCGUAUCAGGGCGUGGGGUAUGCACAGCACAUGGACAGGCAUUGCAGCACAGAGGUGUCCAGGAGGGAGAGCAAGAGCACAUUAAGGCCUCAUCAAGGAUGGAGAGGUGCAGUGGGAUGGAGGAGGCCAGAAGCCAGUCCAUGGAAUGCGCAGAUAUGCCUCUGGCCCUGCAGUCCGGGAGGGCCACCCCAGAUGUCAGGAUCAGCCCUUCCCUUCUUCCAGGACUCUGGAAAGCUCGGCAGAGGAGGUGAUAUGGCUCUUCAGCUGAGGUGGCAGGCACACAAAAGGCCAAACGAGGGCAGUUAUCACUUGUGAUUCUGAGCGAUGUGACGAGCGAGGUCCUGGACGCUGGCCAAGAGAAGUAGCAGCACGGAACUCAGGAAGUCAAGUUCUCGGUGAAGACCGUCCGAAGCCACUCCACGCUGCCUCCUUGAAUCCCAGCCUCGCCCUGGAAGGCCAGGCCUGAGCGCCCACUUGAUUCUGCUUUAACAUCCCACCACGGCCCCUACUCCCCACCAGCACACGACCCCAGGCACAGAUCCAGCACGGCUGAGACUGAGAGUCAGACAGACCCUGGAGAGCAGCCCUGUGCCUCUGGGAAGCCCAAGUCCACUGUCAAGGCCUCAAGCGGUACCGGGACGGAACAGCUCCCCGGUCACUGGGUGACUGGGACCUGAAUACGCUCAGUGCCGGCCCAGCCAAGAGACCACACGCAGACGACCCUGACUUUUCGAAAGCGGCGCUGUAGUUUGUCCCCCGUGCUUGGGGGCCACUGCACACACAGGCACACAGACCCGACGCCCCGGGGUGCGCACGGCGUCGCG